AUGGCUCAGGAUGAACGCUAGCUACAGGCUUAACACAUGCAAGUCGAGGGGCAGCAUUGGGGUAGCAAUACUCAGAUGGCGACCGGCGCACGGGUGAGUAACACGUAUCCAACCUGCCGCUUACUCGGGGAUAGCCUUUCGAAAGAAAGAUUAAUACCCGAUGGUAUAAAGAGUUCGCAUGUUCUCUUUAUUAAAGAAUUUCGGUAAGCGAUGGGGAUGCGUUCCAUUAGAUAGUUGGCGGGGUAACGGCCCACCAAGUCUACGAUGGAUAGGGGUUCUGAGAGGAAGGUCCCCCACAUUGGAACUGAGACACGGUCCAAACUCCUACGGGAGGCAGCAGUGAGGAAUAUUGGUCAAUGGACGAGAGUCUGAACCAGCCAAAAGUAGCGUGAAGGAUGACUGCCCUAUGGGUUGUAAACUUCUUUUAUAAGGGAAUAAAGUGAGGGACGUGUCCCUUUUUGUAUGUACCUUAUGAAUAAGGAUCGGCUAACUCCGUGCCAGCCGCCGC
rnacentral:rRNA from 1 species